AAAUGACGGUACCUGACUAAGAAGCACCGGCUAAAUACGUGCCAGCAGCCGCGGUAAUACGUAUGGUGCAAGCGUUAUCCGGAUUUACUGGGUGUAAAGGGAGCGCAGGCGGCGCGCCAAGUCUGAUGUGAAAGCCCGGGGCUCAACCCCGGGACUGCAUUGGAAACUGGUGCGCUAGAGUGUCGGAGAGGUAAGUGGAAUUCCUAGUGUAGCGGUGAAAUGCGUAGAUAUUAGGAGGAACACCAGUGGCGAAGGCGGCUUACUGGACGACAACUGACGCUGAGGCUCGAAAGCGUGGGGAGCAAACAGGAUUAGAUACCCUGGUAGUCCACGCUGUAAACGAUGAAUACUAGGUGUGGGGAGACACAGUCUCUCGGUGCCGCAGCUAACGCAAUAAGUAUUCCACCUGGGGAGUACGUUCGCAAGAAUGAAACUCA
rnacentral:rRNA from 1 species